UGUUCGGAAUUACUGGGCGUAAAGGGCUCGUAGGCGGCCAACUAAGUCAGACGUGAAAUCCCUCGGCUUAACCGGGGAACUGCAUCUGAUACUGGAUGGCUUGAGUUCGGGAGAGGGAUGCGGAAUUCCAGGUGUAGCGGUGAAAUGCGUAGAUAUCUGGAGGAACACCGGUGGCGAAGGCGGCAUCCUGGACCGACACUGACGCUGAGGCGCGAAAGCCAGGGGAGCAAACGGG
rnacentral:rRNA from 1 species